rnacentral:rRNA from 1 species
GACGAACGCUGGCGGCGUGCCUAACACAUGCAAGUCAGGGGAGAAGGAGGUAGCAAUACUUCCGGGAAACCGGCGCACGGGUGAGUAACACGUAGGUAACCUACCCUUGAGCGGGGAACAACAUCGAGAAAUCGGUGCUAAUACCGCAUAAUGCAACGAGACCGCAUGGUUUUGUUGUUAAAGAUCCGCAAGGAUCACUUGGAGGAGUGGACCUGGCCGCCCGAUUAGCUAGGUU